rnacentral:rRNA from 1 species
UACAGAGGGUGCAAGCGUUGUUCGGAAUUAUUGGGCGUAAAGGGUGUGUAGGCGGCCAGCUAAGUAGGGUGUGAAAGGCCUCGGCCUAACCGAGGCAUUGCGCUCUAAACUGACUGGCUUGAGUGAGAUAGGGGUGUGCGGAACUUCCAGUGGAGCGGUGAAAUGUGUUGAUAUUGGAAGGAACGCCGGUGGCGAAAGCGGCACACUGGGUCUUGUCUGACGCUGAGACACGAAAGCCAGGGGAGCGAACGGG